rnacentral:rRNA from 1 species
GAUGAACGCUGGCGGCGUGCCUAAUACAUGCCAGUCGAGCGAACGGACGAGAAGCUUGCUUCUCUGAUGUUAGCGGCGGACGGGUGAGUAACACGUGGAUAACCUACCUAUAAGACUGGGAUAACUUCGGGAAACCGGAGCUAAUACCGGAUAAUAUUUUGAACCGCAUGGUUCAAAAGUGAAAGACGGUCUUGCUGUCACUUAUAGAUGGAUCCGCGCUGCAUUAGCUAGUUGGUAAGGUAACGGCUUACCAAGGCAACGAUGCAUAGCCGACCUGAGAGGGUGAUCGGCCACACUGGAACUGAGACACGGUCCAGACUCCUACGGGAGGCAGCAGUAGGGAAUCUUCCGCAAUGGGCGAAAGCCUGACGGAGCAACGCCGCGUGAGUGAUGAAGGUCUUCGGAUCGUAAAACUCUGUUAUUAGGGAAGAACAAAUGUGUAAGUAACUGUGCACAUCUUGACGGUACCUAAUCAGAAAGCCACGGCUAACUACGUG